AUACGUAGGUGGCAAGCGUUGUCCGGAAUUAUUGGGCGUAAAGCGCAUGUAGGCGGUUUGGUAAGUCGGUCGUGAAAAUGCGGUGCUUAACGCCGUAUGGCGAUUGAAACUGCUGAACUUGAGUGCAGGAGAGGAAAGGGGAACUCCCAGUGUAGCGGUGAAAUGCGUAGAUAUUAGGAGGAACACCGGCGGCGAAGGCGGCUUACUGGACUGUAACUGACGUUGAGGCUCGAAAGCGUGGGGAGCAAACAGGAUUAGAUACCCUGGUAGUCCACGCCGUAAACGAUGAUCACUAGGUGUUGGGAGGCAAAGCCUUUCGGUGCCGCAGCUAACGCAAUAAGUGAUCCACCUGGGGAGUACGUUCGCAAGAAUGAAACUCAAAUGAAUUGGCGGGG
rnacentral:rRNA from 1 species